rnacentral:pre_miRNA from 1 species
GUCUCCCGUGCCUGCUGUGCUGAUAAUCAGUGUGUGAGGUUAGCUGGCUCAGUUCAGCAGGAACAGGGGC